CCUGAAAUUGCAGACACCGGGUUAAGUACAAGAUUGUACUCGCAAGUCUUACCCAAAAUUAUAUAUACAUAAGAGAGAGAGAAGUAUGCAAGCUUUUUAGCCUAUAGUGGGUCUCUAGGUUCAACAUUUGCAUAAAGCUAAUUUUAUCGAGAAAUUAAUGAGUAAAAUAAGCAAGGACAAGUAAAUCUAGCAUUAUUUUAAUUUAUGGACAGCAAGUAUAUAAUUCUGAAAUGUAUAAGCAAAUGAGCCCAAACGGCGCUCUCAUCAUCAUCCAUGGACUACCAAAGUCCAUACCAACAUGGCACAACAUGCCAACACCACCAUCAAACAUAAUCCCAUCCAUAAUAACCCACAUUUGAUGCUAACAUAACUGACUAACACAUCAAGCAUUGUCAUAACCGAGGACGCGGCUAUUCGAAUAGAUUAUACUCUGAUCAGAGGUGUACAACUGGACCCACACAAAAUGAACAAAGAUCAAAUGCUACACACCCCGUCGAGUGCGGUACACAAGUGAUUCAAGCUCAUUACAUGCCCUUUCUUAACCCCACCCCAACCACCUAUACCACUCUGGGGUUCCCGACGACUCAGUCACGUGUGUGCGUGAUGUGAGCAAGGCGGGCGCGCCACGCGGGAUGCACCCCCGGCCAAACCUAGGCACCCGAGGCCUUCCAAAGGCUACCUACCUCACGACUCUCCAACGUGGUAUAAAUGAUCACAGUAGAACUAGUAAGAACAAGCCGGUCCCAAAUAAGGCAUGUGGUAAGUACGAAGGGUGCUUGAAUAGAUGUCAAAAUGUUCGGUCCUUAACGACCUAGACGGGGCUACUUGCAUUAGGGGAAACCCACCUCCCAUCAUCGCCCUAUCACCCGUCCAAGUCCACCAUAUUUCAUCAACCAUUAUUCAGUGUAAGUGCUCAAGUUUUAUACCCAAUAAUACAAGUUGUCUAUAUACCACAAUUAAUAGCACUGUCCAUCCCUAUAGUUCUAUUAGCACUAAGCAUGGCUAAGCAUUAAUGAAUAAGACAUCCCAAGUAAUCCCAACCAGUGGUAAUAGUGUAUAAGGACAGCAAUAUCACAAGAACUAAAUGCAUAAAUAGGUCCUACCCAUACAUCAUAAACCAACAAUAUUAAUAUCUAGGCAAUGCAUGCAUAUACAUAUAUAUAUAUAUAUAUACAUAUAUAUAUAUAUACAUAUAGAUUGCAACCAAAUCAUUUUUAGAGAAAGCAUAGGUUCUAUAUGCUUAGG
rnacentral:lncRNA from 1 species